rnacentral:lncRNA from 1 species
CGCCAGCCUAAUGCACAGAUAGCUGACAUCAACUUCCGUCAGGCGGCUCCGGGAGAUCGAACCUUUCGAUUGUAACUGGGACAAUUUGCAUAGUGAUUCCCUUUCAGAGCUUUCUCGGGCCCAUAACAAGCGCAGGCAGCUAUUCAAAUGCAAGUUGCGUCCCUAAAUGCGCGGCUGGCCUGAGCUAAAGGAGCAGCUCGUCACCGUGCGAGCCGAGACCAGCGUUGGGGUUCUGGGUCACCUCUUUUCUCCCGGCUUUUCCCUCGCUCUCCGGUUCCUGAAUUAGCUGUUUGUUUAUGGCUCCAGACGUGUGUGCCAGCGAGCCGAGGCAGCGUGCAAGGGAGAAAAUUGAUCUUUCCUCAGACUCAAAGCUGGAGCCGAAGAAGUGCGGGGGAUUUGGGGGUUCUGAGUGGGACUCAGACCCUAGGUGCUGAGGGGAAGCUCGUGGGCUCUCUGGCCCGCUUCUCUAACCCCAGCGACCUUGCAGGAAUCCUCAGGCCUGAGAGCGCCCGGGCUCUGGGCUUUGCAGAAAGUGGCGGCGGCUGUGUCCCGGGUUUUAAAAUCAACGCAAAGGAAAGGAGGCAAAGCUGAAAGCUUGUCGCGUGUCAGAAGCAACCUGCCGUGAAAUCCGCUAAUGCGCCCCGACUCGCCCUUCGCGGUAAGACAGCCUUUCAGGUCCACGCGGCCGUGGACCAAGAAUGGGGAGUCAGUGCGGCCAGGUGUGCCACGCGGGUCCUCGACUGAGCUCGUGGCCACGCGUACAGCGUGGGAGCCGGGGGGCGGAGGGCAGAGCCCGCGUCACGCCCGGGAAGCGGAAAGGGGGAGUCCCCCUCCCAGCCCUCCUGCCCGCCACCGUGGGUAACAGGUCCUCCCCGCGAGUUUAAAGCAGCAAAUGAGAGCGGAGAGCUGGC